rnacentral:lncRNA from 1 species
CCUAAACCUUGCUCAGUGCUUUUUGCUAUUUUACCUCUGAACCACAUUCAACACUUGAUUGUUACCAAGUUGUUUCAAGCCUGACCAUGAAAUAAUCAAGGUAUGCACAAAGCUGCUUUGAAGUCAGCAGAGCACUACAAGCAUCUGCUGAUAUGCAUCGUACCAGGACCGCACUGACACUGACCAUGAUUACUUUGCAGACCACUUGUAAGACUCUGUUCGAGCACACAGAAAGACUUUUUGCUUUCUAUUUUUAAAUUAGUAAGAGACCAAUCUAAACUAUUUCUGAAGUUUAUGGUUCUUGCAAGGUGUGGAAAAAGUCAUGGACUUGAUGGAUUUAGUUAUCCCAUUAAAAGUAUUUAUGAUACUUGGGAGUUAAAGGUAGAAAUUUCACAUUAUUUAUUGGAUUAAUCUUAACUGGCAAAGGUUUUAACUUAAUAUUGUUAUAUUUCUACAAUUUCAGGUGUUUUUCUUCACUUGAAUGGAGAUGCCCAAUGGUAUCAAACAUGUUGGUGGCUCUGAGGCAGGAAUCAAAAGACCUCACAACUGGCAAGAUAAAUUCUUCCCGAUAACCAAGGGUCAUCAACGUUUAGUAACCUUCUAUGGACACCCUUGCAACAUCACUGCUUGCAACUGCAGCCAAAUGUGGAAUGUGGAGGCAAUUAAGAUAGCAGAAGGAGAGACUGGGCUUACAAACAAAAUGGGAGCCUGGUGGACAUUAAAGGCACUUAAACAAAGCUCAUAAUCUCCUCAGUGCAGCUCAGAAAUUGCACUGUCCCCAGCCAGCAACAGGUCUGAGCUUGUUCUUCCCAGUGGCAGCCUUCUGUCAGAGAGCAAAAAUUACGUCCAAUGGAGGCAUCAAAGACAGCACUCCUAGGGUAUCUAGUGAAGGCAAAUGCAGUUGUUUCCUUAUGUCUCCUGGGAGCUCUGCAUCUUACUGUAACAAUGCCAAUUAUUUCUUCACAGAAGUACCCUUCAGUUAUAAAUAAAGACCAGGCUAUUGGACCA